CCUACGGGACGCAGCAGUGAGGAAUAUUGGUCAAUGGACGUGAGUCUGAACCAGCCAAGUCGCGUGAAGGAUGACGGCUCUAUGGGUUGUAAACUUCUUUUAUAUGGGAAUAAACUGUUCCACGUGUGCCAUUUUGUAUGUACCAUAUGAAUAAGGAUCGGCUAACUCCGUGCCAGCAGCCGCGGUAAUACGGAGGAUCCGAGCGUUAUCCGGAUUUAUUGGGUUUAAAGGGAGCGUAGGCGGAUUGUUAAGUCAGUUGUGAAAGUCUGUGGCUCAACCGUAGAAUUGCCGUUGAAACUGGUAGGCUUGAGUAUAGUAGAGGUAGGCGGAAUGCGUGGUGUAGCGGUGAAAUGCUUAGAUAUCACGAAGAACCCCGAUUGCGAAGGCAGCUUAC
rnacentral:rRNA from 1 species